UACGGAGGGUGCAAGCGUUAUCCGGAUUCACUGGGUUUAAAGGGUGCGUAGGUGGGCAGGUAAGUCAGUGGUGAAAUCUCCGGGCUUAACCCGGAAACUGCCGUUGGUACUAUCUGUCUUGAAUAUAGUGGAGGUGAGCGGAAUAUGUCAUGUAGCGGUGAAAUGCUUAGAUAUGACAUAGAACAUCGAUUGCGAAGGCAGCUCGCUACGCUAUUAUUGACACUGAGGCACGAAAGCGUGGGGAUCAAACAGG
rnacentral:rRNA from 1 species